ACGAGCCACAUGCAGGGAAACUUGCACGUGUGGUUCUGGCCUCUGGAUUGCCUACUAAAUGCAACUGGGGACAUAAUGGAGAAGAAACUUAAGUAGAGUCGGACCGACAUGUGUGCCUUCGGGCCACCCUGACGUAUCCGCU
rnacentral:ncRNA from 1 species